rnacentral:rRNA from 1 species
UACAGAGGGUGCGAGCGUUAAUCGGAAUUACUGGGCGUAAAGCGUGCGUAGACGGUAGCGUAAGUCAGAUGUGAAAGCCCCGGGCUCAACCUGGGAAUUGCACCUCAAACUACACGGCUAGAGUACUGGAGAGGGUAACGGAAUUCACGGUGUAGCAGUGAAAUGCGUAGAUAUCGUGAGGAACACCAGAGGCGAAGGCGGUUACCUGGACAGUUACUGACGCUCAGGCACGAAAGCGUGGGGAGCAAAAGGG